GAUCAUAGGGAGUUUACACAGCUGAGAUGGAUGUAUAAUACAAAUUGUCACCAGAUACUUUUAACUGGUUAGAUGCCAUCAGUUGAAUAAGCUUCUCUUCUGCAUCCGGAGAAAAACCACAAAAUGCCUUUCUUUGUCUCAUGAAGAGAAAUUCUCCCCUCCUCUGAAGUCUUGGCCUUUGAACUGAAUGGGCCUACCUCUUCCAUCCUACUCCAGAGACACACCAAGACCUUCUUCUAGGUCGACACAGGAAUUUUUUCCUCGGA
rnacentral:lncRNA from 1 species